rnacentral:lncRNA from 1 species
AUGCAUGUGCCCCUUUCUGUCAUGGAAAUAAGAGCUGUGACAAAGCCUGACAGAGCCCAGGAGCUGGUCCCAACCUCUCGUCCCAGCCUCAUGCCCUCCAUCAGAAAACUCCUGUCAGGAAGCUUCAUACACUUUGGGUCAGACGCUCUUUCCCUGAAGAGGAGAAGAAUAUUUAUAGCCAGGAAGGGCUGUAAUGGGGAGAUCUCUAGGCUGCUCUACCUGUCAGAUAAGGUUUCUUAUGGACCCGAUGGUAACAGCCCACGUGCAGUCUGCUACAACAGAAGAGAAGGUGGGGUCUGGGUUUGGGGCACCAGGGCGUUCCCAGCCCAGGUAAUUUGGCUGAGGUCCUGGAAAGUGGAGGAACUGGCAGAGCUAAUGACUUUGGAAGUGCCUUGGGACCCUAUGCUAGUGCAGAAAAGGCUUAGGAAAUAUUCGGCAAGUUCAUUUAGGCUCCUUUCACGCUUCUCAAAUCUUGAAGCUUCCUUAUUGCUGCUUUAUGUCAAUAUGACACUGCUUGAUUUCACCGUUGCUCUUGAUUUUGCUGCGAUGGCGUUGCAGCGUUUGGUCCCGCGCCGAUCCCAUCUGCAACGUCUCACAUAAUCUGCGUGGGGUUUCGGGCAAUUGGAUUAAAGCUGCGAAAUUCAGAUGGCCCCACUGGGGUGUAGGAAGCUCGGGCUGGGCUGACGUUACCUAUGUGCAGAGCCACAGGCAGAGUAUCGUGUCAGUGAGGAGAUGCUGUGAUUAGUCAUGAGCGUGGUGUGUUUCCUUCUAGAAAAUUGCUACUGGAGAGCGAGAAUAGACUGGUCUCCUUAAGCUUCUACACGUUAACUAAUCAAUGCAUCUUCAGCUGGAAGGAUCCCUCCCAUUAGAGG